rnacentral:lncRNA from 1 species
AGGGAGAGCACAGGGUGUGUGCAUCUGGCACUAGGAGGCAGGGAAAGAUAGCGUGGGCCAGGCUGGCCGGACGUAUGUGUUUGUGUUUGAUUGAAGAGGGAUGUGAGACACAGACCCCUCACUGGCUCAGUUUUACUGGAAUGCUGCCACGAAGAGAUGGACACUCACACAGGCUUUGGACUCAUGCACACUGAUCAGGGCCAGUCGUCUGAGAAUUACUUCGCCCCCGAGAGUCACUUCCUGUCUACCGAGGCAGAGUGUCCCUUUCGCCACGGAAACAACAUUGCAAAGAUGUCAUCUGUGCUGCCUUUAUGCCAGCUAGCCUCUUUGUCGAUCUCCACCCUGAGUGCCAGUUCCUCUGCGCUCCAGCUGAAGUUCAUGACCUCUCAGAGUUCACGUUGGGACAGGGGCGUUUCUGAGGGAGAGUGAACUCUCGAUCAUGCUCUCACGUGACUCGGAGCAUAUGGUAAGUCACCUCCAGAAUGGAAAAAGCUCUACUUUCAGUUGCUUGCAGUUUCUUCCAACUCAUUUUAUGGAUAGUUUCAGAGCAUGAG